GACGAACGCUGGCGGCGUGCUUAACACAUGCAAGUCGAACGGAAAGGCCCUGCUUUUGUGGGGUGCUCGAGUGGCGAACGGGUGAGUAACACGCGAGUAACCUGCCCUUGACUUUGGGAUAACUCCAGGAAACUGGGGCUAAUACCGGAUAGGAGCUCCUGAUGCAUGGUGGGGGUUGGAAAGUUUCGGUUGUUGGGGAUGGACUCGCGGCUUAUCGGCUUGUUGGUGGGGUAGUGGCUUACCAAGGCUUUGACGGGUAGCCGGCCUGAGAAGGUGUCCGGCCACAAUGGUACUGAGAUACGGCCCAGACUCAGACGGGAGGCAGCAGGGGGAAGUAUUGCAGAAUGGGCAGGAGCCUGAUGCAGCAGCGCCGCGUGCGUAAUGCCGGCCUUCGGGUUGUGAACCGCUUUCUCCUGUGACGAAGCGUGAGUGACGGUAAUGGGUAGAGAAGCACCGGCUAACUACGUG
rnacentral:rRNA from 1 species